rnacentral:rRNA from 1 species
CCUACGGGAUGCAGCAGUGGGGAAUAUUGGGCAAUGGGCGCAAGCCUGACCCAGCACCGCCGCGUGAAGGAAGAAGGCUUUCGGGUUGUAAACUUCUUUUGUCAGGGACGAAGCAAGUGACGGUACCUGACGAAUAAGCCACGGCUAACUACGUGCCAGCAGCCGCGGUAAUACGUAGGUGGCAAGCGUUAUCCGGAUUUACUGGGUGUAAAGGGCGUGUAGGCGGGACGGCAAGUCAGAUGUGAAAACCACGGGCUCAACCCGUGGCCUGCAUGUGAAACUGUAGUUCUUGAGUACUGGGGAGGCAGACGGAAUUCCUAGUGUAGCGGUGAAAUGCGUAGAUAUGAGGAGGAACACCAGUGGCGAAGGCGGUCUGCUGGACAGCAACUGACGCUGAGGCGCGAAAGCGUGGGGAGCAAACAGGAUUAGAUACCCUAGUAGUC